UUAACAUAACAUUCAGAAAUCAAUGAAAAUUAUUCGAGUAUUUACCAUUAUAAAUUAAUUUCUUUAUGUCACAUAAUAAAUACGAGUAGUCAGAAACAUAAAAUCAAAUAAGAAACCAGAAAGAAAGUUUUCAUAAAGAUUUUACCUAUUUUUCUUUCAUUUUCUUCUCAGUUUUUCAAUUUCUUACCAUGAGUUGCUUGUUUGGGAGGCUCAAGUUGAUGGAAAGAAAGAGAGAGAGAAGGAAGCAAAUGCAGCUGGCCAUUGGAAAGUCCUUGCUCCCACCAAUUAUUUGUAAUUUCUUCUACUAGUCUACUUCAGUUGUGAACACUUACUUGUGAUCUUGCUGUCGUUCCGCGUAUCUGCCCUAAACCAUCUCUUCUAGUUGGUAAAGUAGGUUAUUUUGAGUAAUUGGGCAGGUUUCGGAUGGGUCUUCGGUUGGGUUUUGGGCCAAAAUUUAUUUUUUUAUGAGGCCCUAGGCAGCUGCCUAGUUGGCCUUGGUCCAGAACCGGGCCUGAUAUCUCAGUAGCUCCAUUUUGCUGAUAGUAACUGUUGAAUGCAAAGGAUGCAUGAGAUGCCAGGCUAUCGGGCUCAAAACAAGGCUGGCUCAACUGAAUAGCUGAGCAGUCCACAUUUCCAGAACCGCAAGCCCAAUCGAGGCCCUUUUUAAUAUCAUCUUCAGAAGCAGUGGAUGAGGCAAUGCACCAUGUUCCAUUGGAACUGGUGAUGUUAGAAUAAUGUAUAAAUAGUUCAAUGAAAAGACAAUAAAAAUAAAAAAAAAAAUAUAAAAUACAACAAUGUAAUGCAAAAACCCUGCAUUUUGUAACACCAGAUUAACAUAACAUUCAGAAAUCAAUGAAAAUUAUUCGGGUAUUUACCAUUAUAAAUUAAUUUCUUUAUGUCACAUAAUAAAUAUGAGUAGUCAGAAACAUAAAAUCAAAUAAGAAACCAGAAAGAAAGUUUUCAUAAAGAUUUUACCUAUUUUUCUUUCAUUUUCUUCUCAGUUUUUCAAUUUCUUACCAUGAGUUGCUUGUUUGGGAGGCUCAAGUUGAUGGAAAGAAAGAGAGAGAGAAGGAAGCAAAUGCAGCUGGCCAUUGGAAAGUCCUUGCUCCCACCAAUUAUUUGUAAUUUCUUCUACUAGUCUACUUCAGUUGUGAACACUUACUUGUGAUCUUGCUGUCGUUCCGCGUAUCUGCCCUAAACCAUCUCUUCUAGUUGGUAAAGUAGGUUAUUUUGAGUAAUUGGGCAGGUUUCGGAUGGGUCUUCGGUUGGGUUUUGGGCCAAAAUUUAUUUUUUUAUGAGGCCCU
rnacentral:lncRNA from 1 species